rnacentral:rRNA from 1 species
AGAGUUUGAUCCUGGCUCAGAACGAACGCUGGCGGCGUGCUUAACACAUGCAAGUCGAGUGCGCGGUUGUAGCAAUACAACUGGCGCACGGCGCACGGGUGCGUAACACGUGGGUAACCUGCCCUUUGGUGGGGAAUAACUCCGCGAAAGCGGAGCUAAUUCCGCAUAAGAUCCGCAAGGAUGAAAGCAGCAAUGCGCCGAAGGAGGGGCCCGCGCCCGAUUAGCUAGUUGGUAGGGUAACGGCCUACCAAGGCUUUGAUCGGUAGCUGGUCUGAGAGGAUGAUCAGCCACACUGGAACUGAGACACGGUCCAGACUCCUACGGGAGGCAGCAGUGGGGAAUCUUGCACAAUGGGCGAAAGCCUGAUGCAGCGACGCCGCGUGGGGGAUGAAGCAUUUCGGUGUGUAAACCCCUUUCGAUCCGGACGAAACCCCGCAAGGGAUUGACGGUACGGAUAUAAGAAGCCCCGGCUAACUACGUGCCAGCAGCCGCGGUAAGACGUAGGGGGCCAGCGUUGUUCGGAAUUACUGGGUGUAAAGGGUUCGUAGGCGGUGCGGCAAGUUGGGAGUGAAAUCUCUGGGCUUAACCCAGAGGCUGCUUCCAAAACUGCUGUGCUUGAGUGUGGGAGAGGCGCGUGGAAUUGCAGGUGUAGCGGUGAAAUGCGUAGAUAUCUGCAGGAACACCCGUGGCGAAAGCGGCGCGCUGGACCACUACUGACGCUGAGGAACGAAAGCUAGGGGAGCAAACAGGAUUAGAUACCCUAGUAGUCC